ACAACAUUCCCCCUUCACUAGGGAUGUCCUUAUGGAACCACUGCAUGAGAAAUUGAAAAUCCCCCAGAUCGCCGCAUACGAAGGGGAUGGUGAUCCCCUCAGCCACCUUGACAAAUACACCUCGUGGAUGGAACUACAAGGGACAAGCAACGCAAUUAUGUGCCGGGCAUUCUCCCUGACUGUAGGAGACAAAGCUCAAAGAUGGUUUAGGAGA
rnacentral:lncRNA from 1 species